UGUUGUUUUACAUAACUUGCUUUAUAGUGAGGAGACUUACUACAAGGAGUGUCCCGAUUCAAAAAAUGAGGAUGGAUUAAGGGUCCUACAUCAGGUAAAGUAUUUUUCAUUGAAUAGAAUUUUUAAAAAUUUGGUAAGUUGCAGUAGCGAUUCGGGAACGAUCUUGGCUCAAGAUGAUGGUUCACUGGAUAUUUGGAAGACGUGGCGAUGCAAUACCCUUGUCAAUGACAAUACCUCCAUAUUCAAGGGCAGCAAUAUUGUUGUGCUUGCUGUCAAGCCAAACUUAUUCCCUGAUGUUAGGGAUUUGAACAAAUGUAAUGGACCAGAAAAUCAGUUAGUGUUGUCUGUAAUGGACGGGAUCACUAUUGAAGAACUUGAAAAGGGGAUUUUUUCACAAGGUGCUAAUCUUAAAGCCAUAAUUCACGUGAUGCCCAAUACUCCUGCUUUGUGUACUGUCUCAAGGAGCAUGCAUCUUCCAAGCAUGCUGAUGCAACCAUCAAAAUCUUAGCAAGUGUGGGAAUUUGUUGUCAGGUGACCGAGUGUCACAUGGACGCUUAUACUGGAUUGUGCUUGAGCGCGCCAGCAUAUGUCUAUAUGGCGAUUGAGGCCCUCUCCGACGGAGCCGUAAACAUGGGAAUCCCUCGACAAUGACCUACCGUACCUGUUACCGCGCACUGUACCGCGCAAACGGUUUAUGGAUCGGCCGAAAUGGUCCUCGAUACCAAGCGUCAUCCUGGAUCGUUGAGAGAUGACGUGUGCUCGCCUGGAGGGACUACUAUUUCUGGCGUCCAUGCCCUGGAGAAGGGAGGAUUCAGGAACGUCGAGACAUGGAUCUUCUCAAUGCGCUUAUCUAAAGAUACCAAAUUAUUUCGUCUAUACUGAUCUUUUUCUUCCUCCAUGUCUAGGGGUGCAUUGAUCGAUGCCGUCGAGACGGGGACCAAACGGGCUCAAGAACGAAGCGUUCACAAAUAAGAGGAUCCAUGAUCUGACCACAGCUGUUGCUUCCACCUAGUGAUUGUUAAGCUUUCAAAAUGAUUAUAAUUUGUUAUACAACAUAGAAAAAUCAAAAACAUAUUUGCUGUUUUCG